CUACGGGGCGCAGCAGUGGGGAAUCUUGUGCAAUGGGCGAAAGCCUGACACAGCCACGCCGCGUGCGGGAAGAAGGCCUUCGGGUCGUAAACCGCUUUCAGCAGGAACGAAAAUGACGGUACCUGCAGAAGAAGGAGCGGCCAACUACGUGCCAGCAGCCGCGGUGACACGUAGGCUCCAAGCGUUGUCCGGAUUUAUUGGGCGUAAAGAGCUCGUAGGCGGUUCAGCAAGUCGGGUGUGAAAACUAUGGGCUUAACCCAUAGCCUGCACCCGAAACUGCUGUGACUAGAGUUUGGUAGGGGAGCGGGAAUUCCUGGUGUAGCGGUGAAAUGCGCAGAUAUCAGGAGGAACACCGGUGGCGAAGGCGCCGCUCUGGGCCAAUACUGACGCUGAGGAGCGAAAGCGUGGGUAGCAAACAGGAUUAGAUACCCUUGUAGUC
rnacentral:rRNA from 1 species